AUUGAACGCUGGCGGCAGGCUUAACACAUGCAAGUCGAGCGAGCGGCGGACGGGUGAGUAAUGUCUGGGAAACUGCCUGAUGGAGGGGGAUAACUACUGGAAACGGUAGCUAAUACCGCAUACCAUCAGAUGUGCCCAGAUGGGAUUAGCUAGUUGGUGGGGUAAUGGCCUACCAAGGCGACGAUCCCUAACUGGUCUGAGAGGAUGACCAGCCACACUGGAACUGAGACACGGUCCAGACUCCUACGGGAGGCAGCAGUGGGGAAUAUUGGACAAUGGGCGAAAGCCUGAUGCAGCCAUGCCGCGUGUGUGAAGAAGGCCUUCGGGUUGUAAAGCACUUUCAGCUAGGAGGCGUUACUCGCAGAAUAAGCACCGGCUAACUCCGUGCCAGCCGCCGCGGUAAUAC
rnacentral:rRNA from 1 species